UUUACAAUUGUAUAGUUUUGAUUAAUUGUGGUUAUAUAAUAGGAGAGUUUACUUUGUUUUCAGUAUUGUUAAAGAAAGAAAAACUUUAUAUUCUAAAGAAAAUUAAAAUUUUGAAUUAAAAAUGGUUGGCUUGUAUACUUUUUGGAGAAUGGCUUAUAGAGAUAGUAUAUUGAUAUAUGUUCUUGAAAAUUUAAGAGCUAUUGUUUUUUUGUUUUUGUUGCAUAAAAAGUAUUAAAACUAAUAAUAGAGGUGACAUGUCUGUCGAAUAAGUUGAUAGCUAGUUUGGGGAGAAACAUAUUUACGUAUGGGGUAGAGUUUUUAUUUUUAUUUAAUAAUAAACUUAGUAAGAUCUAUACUCAGAUUUUUAAGGUUUAGCUUAAAAGUAUUUUAGUGUCCUGUUCAAGGAAAGAGUAGAGUUUAUAUUGCUUAUCUUUUAAACUUUUUUAUAAAGUAAACUAUAAUUGGAUUGAUUUUCUUAGUAUCUUCAUAAGUGUAAUAAUUUUUUAUAUUAAAAUUAGUAUAAGAUUAGUAACUAAAUAAUAGUGAAUUAAGAGAUAAAAUAUUUUUGAUUUGUUUUUGAAAAAUAAUAAAAUGUGUUUUUUUAUUUAAGAUACAUAAAGAGUGCUAUUUGUUUUAAUUUCGAUUUAAUAUUUUAUUAGUUCGGAAUUGUUAAAAUUAUAUUGAAAGAACUCGGCAAAUCUUCUUUGUGCCUGUUUAUUAAACACAUGGCCUUUUGUUUUGUAGGUAUAAAAGGUUUGACCUGCCCGGUGACUGUAGUAGUUUAACGGCCGCUUUAUUUGUGCUAAGGUAGCACGGUGAGUAGCCCUUUAAUUGAGGGAUUGUAUGAAUGGUUGGACACGGAGAGACUGUUUCCAAUGUAAUAAGUAGAAGUUUCUUUUCAAGUGAAAAAGCUUGAGUUUUUGUAAAAGACGAGAAGACCCUGUCGAACUUAAUUAAAAUUUAAAAUAUUUAGUUUUAGUGGCCCUAUUUAUUUGCUAUAUUAAGUUAGUUUGUACUAGUGAUGAUUUAUUUGUAAGUUGAGAGGUAUUAUUUCAGUAUAGAUUUUUGUUAAUUUUAUGGGUUGGGUACGGAAAAUUUAUUUUAAUUUUAAAUCUUUGUUGGGGCAAUAGAAAUCUAUUAAACGAUAUCUUACUGGAUAAAGACCCUGUAUGAUAGUUUAAAAGCAAAAGUUACCGCAGGGAUAACAGCGUAAUUUUUUUCUGUAGUUGUAUCGAGAAAAGAGUUUACGACCUCGAUGUUGAAUUAAGAAACCUUUAUGGCGCAGGAGCUAUAGGAGGGAAACUGUUCGUUUUUUAAUUUCUUACAUGAUUUGAGUUAAGAUCGGCGUGAGCUAGAUUGGUUUCUAUCUUUAUUUAUUAUUUCUAUUGUACGAAAGGAUCCAGAAAUAGUGUUUAACACUGUGAUGAAACUAUAAAAAAUGAGUAUUUUGGUU
rnacentral:rRNA from 1 species